CUUCCCUGACACGGGAGAGGGGCAA
rnacentral:misc_RNA from 1 species